CUAUGCGCCUUGCCAGCCCGCUCAGGUGUGCCAGCCGCCGCGGUAAUACGUAGGUGGCAAGCGUUAUCCGGAUUUAUUGGGCGUAAAGCGAGCGCAGGCGGUUGCUUAGGUCUGAUGUGAAAGCCUUCGGCUUAACCGAAGAAGUGCAUCGGAAACCGGGCGACUUGAGUGCAGAAGAGGACAGUGGAACUCCAUGUGUAGCGGUGGAAUGCGUAGAUAUAUGGAAGAACACCAGUGGCGAAGGCGGCUCUCUGGUCUGCAACUGACGCUGAGGCUCGAAAGCAUGGGUAGCGAACAGG
rnacentral:rRNA from 1 species